UACAGAGGUCUCAAGCGUUUGUUCGGAUUCAUUGGGCGUAAAGGGUGCGUAGGCGGCGCGGUAAGUCGGGGUGUGAAAUCUCGGAGCUUAACUCCGAAACUGCAUUCGAUACUGCCGUGCUUGAGGACUGGAGAGGAGACUGGAAUUUACGGUGUAGCGGUGAAAUGCGUAGAUAUCGUAAGGAAGACCAGUGGCGAAGGCGGGUCUCUGGACAGUUCCUGACGCUGAGGCACGAAGGUCAGGGGGAGCAAAACGGGG
rnacentral:rRNA from 1 species